AUUAAAAAACAUCUAGUGUUUCAUAUGUAAAUCUUGCUAAAGGAGUUUGCACAGUGAAGGUGAAUGAACAUAGUUUUCUUUUUGCCUGAUAUACUACAUAGAGAAGCAUCCUGGCAGACUUCUCACUGUGGAGAUUCCUGAAGAUGGUGUACUGAUGGUUCUGUAGGCUGAACGCCACUAGAAACUCUACUGACUCAGGCUUUCUGACUGUUGGAAUGGUUUUAGAUGGUCAUCCCAGAGAAUGAAGGCAUGGAUGGCUCACAUGAAGCGCUGGUUGUUAAAGGCAAGGUAUUUAUUGCUAAGUUGAAAACCUUCUUUACCAAAUGUGACGGAACCAAAGAUACAACGAAGCCAUGGCUAAGAAAAAUCAGCCCCCGUGAUUAAAUUUUAUUGAGUAUGA